ensembl:lncRNA LINC03021 long intergenic non-protein coding RNA 3021
GAUCUGGGCUUGGCAGAAACUGUGUCCGGAAUUGGUGGGCUCUUGGUCUCACUGACUUCAAGAAUGAAGCCCCAGACCCUCGCGGUGUGUUACAGUUCUUAAAGGGGGCGGGUCCGGUGAGUGUUACAGUUCUUAACGGCCGCGCGUCCAGAGUCUGUUCCUUCUGAUGUUCGGAUGUGUUCGGAGUUUCUUCCUUCUGGUGGGUUCGUGGUCUCGCUGGCUCGGGAGUGAAGCUGCAGACGUUUGCGAGAAAUCUAAAUACAUGACCACAGUUUGAGCUCCUGUCUGAAGAGAUUUUUUAAAGGCUGUUUUCUCAUUAAAGCUGGGAUUUUCAUCAUGCUGAGUUCAGAGGAACUCGUGAGUUAUGACAAAAAGAUAUUAUGACUCCCAUGCAGCGGAUGAAGACAUUGAUGCCCAUGAAAGGAGAUUCACAAGCCUCCCUCCCAGAUUCAGGGAAGGAGAUGCAGCCCCCACCCCUUGACUGGAGGAGGACCAAGGUCACCUUGCAGAGCACCGUGAGAUGUGGAAGAUGCCAGAACUGUCUGUGGGAAAUGGGAUUUGUACUUGGCUUGUCUGCCUCUUGCAACCAGAGUCCUGGUUCUCAGGGCCUCACCUGUGCAUCUCUUGUUGAGCACAGAGGAGGCACUCGGCAUAAAUGAAGAGGAUGCUUGCUGAGCUGGCUGGCCCAUCCUCUCUUCUUUCCCUUGUUUUUCUAUUUUAUCUUUCAAAGCAGUGUUUCAAGUGUUUAUAAACUAAUCUAUGUAUAAAAUAUUAUGUGGCAUAAGAUUUGCAAAAUAUUAAAGAUUUAAAGAAUCAAAUAAAAUAUUUGUAUGAUACCACAGUC